UCUAACUCGCUGGGUUGGUAGAGCGCUCCACUGGGAUUGGAGAGGUCCCUCGUUCAAUUCCAGGACCGGGAGAA
rnacentral:tRNA from 1 species